rnacentral:rRNA from 1 species
AGAGUUUGAUCCUGGCUCAGGAUGAACGCUAGCGACAGGCUUAACACAUGCAAGUCGAGGGGCAGCGGUGGUGAAGGCUUGCCUUUACCAGCCGGCGACCGGCGCACGGGUGAGUAACACGUAUGCAACCUGCCUGCCACGGCCGGAUAAUCGGGAGAAAUCCCGUCUAAUACGGCAUAAUGCAUCGACGGGACAUCCUGUUGGUGCCAAAGGUUGAUUCCGGUGGCGGAUGGGCAUGCGUCGCAUUAGUUAGUUGGCGGUGUAACGGACCACCAAGACGACGAUGCGUAGGGGUUCUGAGAGGAAGGUCCCCCACACUGGUACUGAGACACGGACCAGACUCCUACGGGAGGCAGCAGUGAGGAAUAUUGGUCAAUGGGCGGGAGCCUGAACCAGCCAAGUCGCGUGAGGGAUGACGGCCCUAUGGGUUGUAAACCUCUUUUGCCGGGGAGCAAAGUGCCGCACGUGUGCGGUUUGGAGAGUACCCGGAGAAAAAGCAUCGGCUAACUCCGUGCCAGCAGCCGCGGUAAUACGGAGGAUGCGAGCGUUAUCCGGAUUUAUUGGGUUUAAAGGGUGCGUAGGCGGACGCUUAAGUCAGCGGUAAAAUUGCGGGGCUCAACCUCGUCGAGCCGUUGAAACUGGGUGCCUUGAGUGGGCGAGAAGUACGCGGAAUGCGUGGUGUAGCGGUGAAAUGCAUAGAUAUCACGCAGAACUCCGAUUGCGAAGGCAGCGUACCGGCGCCCAACUGACGCUGAAGCACGAAGGCGUGGGUAUCGAACAGGAUUAGAUACCCUGGUAGUCCACGCAGUAAACGAUGAAUGCUAGUUGUCCGGGGCGAUUGAGUUCUGGGUGACACAGCGAAAGCGUUAAGCAUUCCACCUGGGGAGUACGCCGGCAACGGUGAAACUCAAAGGAAUUGACGGGGGCCCGCACAAGCGGAGGAACAUGUGGUUUAAUUCGAUGAUACGCGAGGAACCUUACCCGGGCUUGAAUUGCAGAUGACGGAUCCAGAGAUGGUGACUUCCUUCGGGACAUCUGUGAAGGUGCUGCAUGGUUGUCGUCAGCUCGUGCCGUGAGGUGUCGGCUUAAGUGCCAUAACGAGCGCAACCCCUUUCGUCAGUUGCCAUCGGGUAAUGCCGGGCACUCUGGCGACACUGCCGCCGCAAGGUGUGAGGAAGGUGGGGAUGACGUCAAAUCAGCACGGCCCUUACGUCCGGGGCGACACACGUGUUACAAUGGGUGGUACAGCGGGAAGCCAGGCGGCGACGCCGAGCGGAACCCGAAAUCCACUCUCAGUUCGGAUCGGAGUCUGCAACCCGACUCCGUGAAGCUGGGUUCGCUAGUAAUCGCGCAUCAGCCACGGCGCGGUGAAUACGUUCCCGGGCCUUGCACACACCGCCCGUCA